rnacentral:misc_RNA from 1 species
GAUGAAGAACGCAGCGAAAUGCGAUAAGUAAUGUGAAUUGCAGAAUUCAGUGAAUCAUCGAAUCUUUGAACGCACAUUGCGCCCCUUGGUAUUCCGGGGGGCAUGCCUGUUCGAGCGUCAUUUCACCACUCAAGCCUCGCUUGGUAUUGGGCAACGCGGUCCGCCGCGUGCCUCAAACCGACCGGCUGGGUCUUCUGUCCCCUAAGCGUUGUGGAAACUAUUCGCUAAAGGGUGUUCGGGAGGCUACGCCGUAAAACAACCCCAUUUCUAAGGUUGACCUCGGAUCAGGUAGGGAUACCCGCUGAACUUAAGCAUAUCAAUAAGCGGAGGA